GACGAACGCUGGCGGCGUGCUUAACACAUGCAAGUCGAACGGUAAGGCCCUUCGGGGUACACGAGUGGCGAACGGGUGAGUAACACGUGGGUGAUCUGCCCUGCACUUCGGGAUAAGCCUGGGAAACUGGGUCUAAUACCGGAUAGGACUCCGGACUGCAUGGUCUGGGGUGGAAAGCUUUUGCGGUGUGGGAUGGGCCCGCGGCCUAUCGGCUUGUUGGUGGGGUGAUGGCCUACCAAGGCGACGACGGGUAGCCGGCCUGAGAGGGUGACCGGCCACACUGGGACUGAGAUACGGCCCAGACUCCUACGGGAGGCAGCAGUGGGGAAUAUUGCACAAUGGGCGCAAGCCGGAUGCAGCGACGCCGCGUGAGGGAUGACGGCCUUCGGGUUGUAAACCUCUUUCAGCAUCGACGAAGCGAAAGUGACGGUAGGUGCAGAAGAAGGACCGACCAACUACGUGCCAGCAGCCGCCGCAG
rnacentral:rRNA from 1 species